rnacentral:rRNA from 1 species
GCCAGCAGCCAUGUCACCCUGCAACUUACAAUUGGCAACCCACUGAAGCUAAGCAGGUGUGAGCCUGGUCAGUACUUGGAUAAGAGACCUCCUGGGAAAAACUAAGGUUGCUGCUGGAA